rnacentral:misc_RNA from 1 species
GAUGAAGAACGUAGCGAAAUGCGAUAAGUAAUGUGAAUUGCAGAAUUCAGUGAAUCAUCGAAUCUUUGAACGCACAUUGCGCCCGCCAGUAUUCUGGCGGGCAUGCCUGUUCGAGCGUCAUUACAACCCUCAGGCCCCCGGGCCUGGCGUUGGGGAUCGGCGGAAGCCCCCUGCGGGCACAACGCCGUCCCCCAAAUACAGUGGCGGUCCCGCCGCAGCUUCCAUUGCGUAGUAGCUAACACCUCGCAACUGGAGAGCGGCGCGGCCACGCCGUAAAACACCCAACUUCUGAAUGUUGACCUCGAAUCAGGUAGGAAUACCCGCUGAACUUAAGCAUAUCAAUAAGCGGAGGG